UACAGAGGGGGCAAGCGUUGUUCGGAAUUACUGGGCGUAAAGGGCGCGUAGGCGGCCCGCUAAGUCGAACGUGAAAUCCCCGAGCUCAACUCGGGAACUGCGUCCGAUACUGGUGGGCUUGAAUCCGGGAGAGGGAUGCGGAAUUCCAGGUGUAGCGGUGAAAUGCGUAGAUAUCUGGAGGAACACCGGUGGCGAAGGCGGCAUCCUGGACCGGCAUUGACGCUGAGGCGCGAAAGCCAGGGGAGCGAACGGG
rnacentral:rRNA from 1 species